rnacentral:rRNA from 1 species
UACGGAGGAUGCGAGCGUUAUCCGGAUUUAUUGGGUUUAAAGGGUGCGCAGGCGGCACGGCAAGCCGGCGGUCAAAUCGCGGGGCUCAACCCCGCCCAGCCGUCGGAACUGCCGGGCUAGAGUGGGCGAGAAAUGCGCGGAAUGCGUGGUGUAGCGGUGAAAUGCAUAGAUAUCACGCAGAACUCCGAUUGCGAAGGCAGCGCACCGGCGCCCUACUGACGCUCAGGCACGAAAGCGUGGGUAUCGAACAGG